GGACACUUGGAGACUGGGGGAAGAGAGGGGGAAUGGGAAUGGAUUAAUGAAGAAAGAAAACGAGGGUAGGAGAGAGGGAAGGGGGAGCCUGAUAAAGAAAGAAGAUGGAAGUGGGAGAGAGGAAUCGGGAAAGAAAAUGGGAACAGGUUAGGAAGGAGUGGGGUUAAAAGAGAAAAUGGAGAUUGGAGACGGAUGUGAAGAAUCAAAAAAGAAAAGAACGUGAGUGAGAGGGAAAGGAGACCAGAAUGAAUAGAAGGAAACAAUGAAAAUGGGGUUAGGAGAGGGAAAAAAAAAAGAUACUGAAGAAAAUGUAAGUGGGAGCGGAAAGGAGAGGGACUGAGUUUGAAAAUAAGGAGGGAGGGGAAUGGGAAAGGGAUUAAGAAAGAAAAUGCGGUAGGAGACAAAGAGGUGGGAUUAGUCACACCUACAUGGUAUUAUUAUUAUCAUUAUUAUUAUUGGUGGUUGUAGUAGUAGUAGUAGUAGUAGUAGUGACAUGCCAACCACUUACCUGCCCUUACUCGUUCACCCGCCUGUUGUUAAGUACAGGUAAACCAACACACCUGAAGAAAUACCUUAAAAUCGUGUUCUUAUUACGUGACGAAUCAAUGUGACUUUUAAAUAGAAAAAAUAGUAUACGCAUUGAAAAGAUGAUAAAUGGCACCAUAGACUAUAUAUAACAAAAGGGAAAAUCAGUAUAAAAAAAAUCGUCUUAGUGAUCAUAAAACGGACCUAAAACAGAGCAAAGUGAAUGUGAGAGGAAGGGAAUAUAGAAGUUACAGGAAGACAUAGGCCAUGUAAGUCCAUAUAGGUGUGUCUUAGUGAGUCCAUACAUGAGUCAUAGUAAGCCUGAAGACAUAAUCAAUUUGAGUCAUUGUAAGAUAAAAAAAAAAGAA